rnacentral:rRNA from 3 species
GAAAUGACUCUCGGCAACGGAUAUCUCGGCUCUUGCAUCGAUGAAGAACGUAGCGAAAUGCGAUACUUGGUGUGAAUUGCAGAAUCCCGUGAACCAUCGAGUCUUUGAACGCAAGUUGCGCCUGAAGCCAUUAGGUUGAGGGCACGCCUGCCUGGGUGUCACAC